rnacentral:lncRNA from 1 species
GUGACAGCAGUGGUGGCAGUGACAGCAGUGACAGCAGUGACAGCAGUGGUGACAGUGGAGAUGCAGUGACAGCAGUGGAGGUGCAGUGGUGGCAAUGGAGGUGCAGUGACAGCAGUGACAGCAGUGGUGGCAGUGGAGGUGCAGUGACAGCAGUGGUGGCAGUGACAGCAGUGACAGCAGUGGUGGCAGUGACAGCAGUGACAGCAGUGGUGACAGUGGAGAUGCAGUGACAGCAGUGGAGGUGCAGUGGUGGCAAUGGAGGUGCAGUGACGGCAGUGACAGCAGUGGUGGCAGUGGAGCUGCAGUGACAGCAGUGGUGGCAGUGACAGCAGUGGUGGCAGUGACAGCAGUGACAGCAGUGGUGGCAGUGGAGCUGCAGCUCUGCUCCCAUCUCCUCUCCCAGCAUCUCCUCCACCUUGGUGUGCACAGCCAGUGUUUCAGUUCAGAAGUUCCCCAGCAUCAAGGAUGAAAGAAAUACAGCAAAGGACAAACCAGCAGCUAAACCCUGACUGGGGAGCAGCCCUUGAAGGAGUCUAGAGCAGCAGGAGAUCGCUCCCAGGUGGAGGAAAUAAUGGAGAAGAUCACGGAGUUUUACAGCUCUGAGCCUCCAAAUUGGCCACUGGCUGUGAGAGGAGCACUCAGCAGGACUGUCCCUUGCCAUCCCUCUGGCCCAGGGAUGUCCAGUGUGGCCUCCAGGGAUUCCCUCAAGGCUUCCCUGUUUCCCGGGGGUCAGAAUGGAAAACCAUCCCCAUUCCUCACCAGAACCUCUGGCAGCCUCAGGGUGCUCAGCCAGAGGCUCCAGGUCAGACUCACUUUUCCCUUGUGUGCCUUGGGAUUGCCCAGGGCUCAGGUAUCUCCUGGGUGCCAUAAAUGGCAUGAGAAG